rnacentral:rRNA from 1 species
ACCAUACGAAGAUGAAAGCACUGCAUCCCGUCCGAUCUGCAAAGUUAAGCAUCUUACGGCCCAGUCAGUACUACGGUGGGGGACCACGUGGGAAUACUGUGGUGUAGCAAUUU